rnacentral:rRNA from 1 species
UAGUGAGUUUGAUCCUGGCUCAGGAUGAACGCUAGCGGCAGGCCUAAUACAUGCAAGUCGAAGGGGCAGCAAUGUCACUGGCGCACGGGUGCGUAACACGUUUGGAAUCUGCCUUCCAGAGGGGGAUAGCCCGCCGAAAGGCGGAUUAAUACCGCAUAUGCCAAUGACCCGGCAUCGGGUAGUUGGGAAAGGAGCAAUCUGCUGGAAGAUGACCAUGCGUCUGAUUAGCUAGUUGGCGGGGUAGAAGCCCACCAAGGCGACGAUCAGUAGGGGACCUGAGAGGGCGAUCCCCCGACACGGACACUGAGAUACGGGUCCGACUCCUAC